CCACCCGAGACUCAGUGAAAUUGAACUCGCUGUGAAGAUGCAGUGUACCCGCGGCAAGACGGAAAGACCCCGUGAACCUUUACUAUAGCUUGACACUGAACAUUGAGCCUUGAUGUGUAGGAUAGGUGGGAGGCUUUGAAGUGUGGACGCCAGUCUGCAUGGAGCCGACCUUGAAAUACCACCCUUUAAUGUUUGAUGUUCUAACGUUGGCCCCUAAUCGGGGUUGCGGACAGUGUCUGGUGGGUAGUUUGACUGGGGCGGUCUCCUCCUAAAGAGUAACGGAGGAGCACGAAGGUUGGCUAAUCCUGGUCGGACAUCAGGAGGUUAGUGCAAUGGCAUAAGCCAGCUUGACUGCGAGCGUGACGGCGCGAGCAGGUGCGAAAGCAGGUCAUAGUGAUCCGGUGGUUCUGAAUGGAAGGGCCAUCGCUCAACGGAUAAAAGGUACUCCGGGGAUAACAGGCUGAUACCGCCCAAGAGUUCAUAUCGACGGCGGUGUUUGGCACCUCGAUGUCGGCUCAUCACAUCCUGGGGCUGAAGUAGGUCCCAAGGGUAUGGCUGUUCGCCAUUUAAAGUGGUACGCGAGCUGGGUUUAGAACGUCGUGAGACAGUUCGGUCCCUAUCUGCCGUGGGCGCUGGAGAACUGAGGGGGGCU
rnacentral:rRNA from 1 species